UUGGGUAAAAACAUUUGCUGGCGAUCAUGUAGUAGUCGAAAUCAUGAAAUAUUGCUUAUCACAAUGUGCACAUUGAUUUUUUCGGAAAUUGACUUUUUUGUUGAUCCUUUUAAAAAGUGCUACCUGCAUUUUGUUUCCGCUUUUCUUCAAAUUGAAUGUUGCAGUUUAUUACGGGCUGUAUAUAAACUAUGGCGUUAUAUGUUGUGGAGCAUUGAUUGUAGCAGUUUUUCUCUCAGGAAUGUAGCAGUACCUCAAAAGGUGCUUGUUCAUUUGUCGCAAUGAAUUGUCUACAUAAUGAAUGCACUACACAGAAGUUAACACAAUAAGGAGGACAAAAUAUUGUCCUUUACAUAUUGCUUGAUUAAUGUUAGAUAAAUGGCCCACAAAUAACACACGUUAUUAAUGAGGAUUGAAUUAGAAUAGAACUGAAAGGACAUAACAAUUUAGAUUAGCUAAUGAAUAAGGCAGAUUAGGAAGUUAUUUUGACCCUAGCAAUGAGGACAUGGGAUGUAUUCACUGGUAUCCUUUCUCAAUUUGGUUUGCUUUUCACACAUGUAAACCUUGGAAUGUUACAUUCUACAGCUAAUUCAGAUUGGCCAACAAUUGAGAGAGAUUGCAACUGAUAUCUUUGCUUACUGAAAAGAUAAGUCGUCUCCUAUGGUGUUUUAGCUGUUCACCUUUCAUCUUGGACGCUCUUGUAGUUAAUUAAAGAACAUUAGAAGAACUCCGGAUACCAUUAAAUUAUGAAAUUAUGAAGCAUUGGUUGAAUUAGUUCUCAUUUGCCCUUCAAAGUAGCUGUGCCCAUGGUUCUAAAGAAAGCAUGAAAGUGCCUAUUUUUCAUCGCGAACGAAGACGGUGUGCUGAAAAAGGAUUUAUGACAAUGAACUGAUUGUUGUCCCACAAAUGAGAAGGAGUUGCAGUUAAUUUUGGUGCUACUAAAACAACCGAUGCUUUUGACGUCUUCGCCUUGCAACAUUAUGCAGUUAAUUUUUGCCGUAACAAUGGGAGGCAAUUAGAAAUUAAUUAAUUAAUUUGGAAGCAACCGGAACUACAAAUUAUCUGCAGUGGUACACUCCUAGAUUUGGUUGUUUUGCUCAUCACACUGGUAGACUUUAGAACGCCACUUUCUACAAUUAAUUGAGGUUAUACAAUAAAUGAGAGAGAAUUAAUG
rnacentral:lncRNA from 1 species